UAAAGGAAGAGUAUGCUCAGAGUGUGUCGGAGGUUGAGAGAGUGUCUGACAGGAUGAUGAGUGUGAAGUUGGAAAUUGAAGGGGUGAUGAUGAAUAUCAUCAGUGCAUAUGCCCCACAGGCAGGUUACGAGAUGAAGGAGAAAGAGGAUUUCUGGAGUAAGCUAGAUGAGGUGGUGAAGAGUGUGCCCA